GAUGAACGCUGACAGAAUGCUUAACACAUGCAAGUCAACUGUGGCGGACGGGUGAGUAACGCGUAAAGAACUUGCCUCACGGAUAGGGACAACAAUUGGAAACGAAUGCUAAUACCUGAUACUGUGAGAGAGCUUUGCGUCCCAUUAGCUCGUUGGAGAGGUAACGGCUCACCAAGGCGAGGAUGGGUAGCCGGCCUGAGAGGGUGAUCGGCCACAAGGGGACUGAGACACGGCCCUUACUCCUACGGGAGUCAGCAGUGGGGAAUAUUGGACAAUGGCCCAAAGUCUGAUCCAGCAAUUCUGUGUGCACGAUGAAUUUUUCGGAAUGUAAAGUGUUUUCAGUUGGAAAGCGGUACCAACAGAAGAAGUGACGGCUAACUACGUGCCAGCAGCCGCGGUAAUAC
rnacentral:rRNA from 1 species